GGCCGCCUGGCGAAAUGGCAUCGCGUCUGACUACGAUGGUCUUGCGCAAUAGUAAUCAGGAGAUUGCAGGUUCGACCCCUGCGGUGGUCA